rnacentral:rRNA from 1 species
UGCGUCCUACGGGGGGCAGCAGUGGGGAAUAUUGCACAAUGGGGGGAACCCUGAUGCAGCGACGCCGCGUGGGUGAAGAAGUCAUUCGUGACGUAAAGCCCUAUCAGCAGGGAAGAAAAUGACGGUACCUGACUAAGAAGCCCCGGCUAACUACGUGCCAGCAGCCGCGGUAAUACGUAGGGGGCAAGCGUUAUCCGGAUUUACUGGGUGUAAAGGGAGCGUAGACGGCGCGGCAAGUCUGAAGUGAAAGGCAGGGGCUUAACCCCUGAACUGCUUUGGAAACUGCCAUGCUAGAGUGCUGGAGG